ncrna:Eptesicus fuscus (big brown bat) microRNA efu-mir-9198b precursor (efu-mir-9198b-5)
GCUGCCGCUCACACCCACUGCUGGCACCUGGCGCCGGACCUGAUCGCUUGGUGCUGUCAGUGGGUGCGAGCGGCGGCUG